CCUACGGGUGGCAGCAGUGAGGAAUAUUGGUCAAUGGACGGGAGUCUGAACCAGCCAAGUAGCGUGAAGGAUGACUGCCCUAUGGGUUGUAAACUUCUUUUAUAUGGGAAUAAAACGUUCCACGUGUGGGAUUUUGUAUGUACCAUAUGAAUAAGGAUCGGCUAACUACGUUCCCGCAGCCGCGGUAAUACGGAGGAUCCGAGCGUUAUCCGGAUUUAUUGGGUUUAAAGGCAUAGUAGGUGGAUUGUUAAGUCAGUUGGGAAAGUUUGCGGCGCAAACGUAAAAUUGCAGUUGAAACUGGCAGUCGUGAGUACAGUAGAGGUGGGCGGAAUUCGUGGUGUAGCGGUGAAAUGCUUAGAUAGCACGAAGAACUCCGAUUGCGAAGGCAGUUCACUGGACUGCAACUGACACUGAGGCUCGAAAGUGUGGGUAUCAAACAGGAUUAGAUACCCUAGUAGUC
rnacentral:rRNA from 1 species